rnacentral:rRNA from 1 species
AAAUUGAAGAGUUUGAUCAUGGCUCAGAUUGAACGCUGGCGGCAGGCCUAACACAUGCAAGUCGAGCGGAAACGAGUUAUCUGAACCUUCGGGGAACGAUAACGGCGUCGAGCGGCGGACGGGUGAGUAAUGCCUAGGAAAUUGCCCUGAUGUGGGGGAUAACCAUUGGAAACGAUGGCUAAUACCGC